GGGACCUGCAGUACAGACUAGUGUCUUUAUCAUAUCACACAGAGACCUGCAGUACAGACUAGUGUCUUUGUCAUAUCACACAGGGACCUGCAGUACAGACUAGUGUCUUUAUCAUAACACACAGGGAACUGUCUUGUCCCAUCGCUGCAAAUCCCAUACAGACUCGGAGGAGGUGAAGGUCGAGAGCCGUGUGUCCUCCGAAACACAACCCCGCCAAGCUGCACCGCUUCUUGACACAAUGCACGCUUAACCCGGAUGCCAGACGCACCAAUGUGUCGGAACGUAACACCGUACACCUGGAGACCGUGUCAGUGUGUAUGCGCCCGGCCCGCCACAGGAGUCGCUAAAGAGCGAUGGGACAAGGACAUCCCGGCCGGACAUACCCUCCCCUACCCUGGAAGACACUGGGCAAAUUGUGUGUCACCUCAUGGGUCUCCCGGUCGCGGCCUCCUGCAACACAACUCGGAAUCAAACCGGGAUCUGUAGUAAUGCAGACCGCUGCACCACUCAGGAGGCCCAUAAUUAUAAUUUUUAAUAGCUUCCAAUCCACAUUAUCAAAGUGUAUUACUUUUUAGGGGCCUCCCAGAUAUUACAAUAUUCACAUUAAAAUCUGUCGCCAAUUUGAUGGAAACCUAGCUUAUGUUUCUAUUAACUUGUCCAGCGAUUUUUGUUGUUGUCAACAUUUAGAAAGUUUGCAUAGAAAAUUUAUUCGACAAUUGCCUGCUAGGGUGCGUUUCCAAUUAACUAUCUUGUCUCAAUAAAAAUAGCUUUGCGUAAUGACAUCACACCUAAAAUAAAAUGCGCAUUAAUUAAUGUGUGCCCUCCCACCUAUCGGUUUCAUGUCUCAGGUAGCCUGUCUGCCCUCCCACCUAUCGGUUUCAUGUCUCAGGUAGCCUGUCUGCCCUCCCACCUAUCGGUUUCAUGUCUCAGGUAGCCUGUCUGUCCUCCCACCUAUCGGUUUCAUGUCUCAGGUAGCCUGUGAAAGCCAGCAUGAACAGAAUGCAAUAAUUUACUAAUAUUUGCCAUAUUGUAAUCAUUCUCAUGUGCCAACGUAUCGCCACGGCCCGUGCCAUGCUGAAACGUGCACUAUUAGAUCUUGAAAAAUGUAAUGGUGUAACUUGCCAGCCAACCAGAAAAGCAAGGCGAAGCAAUUCAAGCAUUCUUUAAAGUCAGAACAAUCCUUGUCCUGUUAAUAAAUUAUUUUUCAUAGUUGGACGUGGCGCUUAAAGUUACAUGAUGACAUCACGUGACCUCCGUACCUUCAAAAGUAGCCUAUUCGGUAAUUAUCAUUUAUUCAAGAAACAUCGUUUCCAUCAUACUUUGUCACAAUAAAGAAAGUCCGACAAAAGAAAAAUCCACACCUGUCGAUCUUUUGAAAAUGUCUCCUAUAUCUGCCGUUUCCAUUACACAUGACGCAAUUAUUAUAGAUAUUUUGUCCCGACAUGGCUAUUGUCGAUAGUCCAUUGAAACCUGCCUAGAGAAGAGAUACACUGUAUACAUUAUGUCAUAAGUAGACUAGGUAUGUCCUCCUACCUAAAGACGAAGAAAAAAAAGAUAAACCUGAUAAUAGUUUCUUCGUCUGGCAUUCUUUUGAAGGCCUUUCGUUUUUACUUCCUUGUUGAGCGCUAUUUGCGAAUUUUGAAGUUAACGUCAAAGUUACUUACUCUUUUUGUGGGACAUUAACCGAUAAUAGCCUCGUUCUCGUAUUUGUCUAUAGCCUAUUUAAAUAGGUCAACAAUAGACCUAUCCAUGACGUUAAUGAAUAUAAUAGACCCUUGAAGCAGAAUAAUUGGAAACGGGCUAUGCCUAG
ensembl:lncRNA